UUGGAGGGCAAGUCUGGUGCCAGCAGCCGCGGUAAUUCCAGCUCCAAUAGCGUAUAUUAAAGUUGUUGCAGUUAAAAGCUCGUAGUUGAAUUUCGGGGUCAGUAGGUUGGUCAUGCCACUGGUAUGUACUGGUCUCACUGAUUCCUCCUUCCUGAUGAACUGUAAUGCCAUUAAUUUGGUGUUGCAGGGAAUCUGGACUGUUACUUUGAAAAAAUUAGAGUGUUUAAAGCAGGCUAACGCCUGAAUACAUUAGCAUGGAAUAAUGAAAUAGGACGUUCGAUCCUAUUUUGUUGGUUUCUAGGAUUGACGUAAUGAUUAAUAGGGAUAGUUGGGGGCAUUAGUAUUCAAUUGUCAGAGGUGAAAUUCUUGGAUUUAUUGAAGACUAACUACUGCGAAAGCAUCUGCCAAGGAUGUUUUCAUUAAUCAAGAACGAAAGUUAGGGGAUCGAAGACGAUCAGAUACCGUCGUAGUCUUAACCAUAAACCAUGCCGACUAGGGAUCGGAUGAUGUUAAUUUUUUAAUGACUCAUUCGGCGCCUUACGGAAACCAAAGUGUUUGGGUUC
rnacentral:rRNA from 1 species